rnacentral:rRNA from 1 species
AGUAACGCGUGGAUAACCUGCCUCACACAGGGGGAGUAACAGUUAGAAAUGACUGCUAAUACCGCAUAAGCGCACGGCAUCGCAUGAUGCAGUGUGAAAAACUCCGGUGGUGUGAGAUGGAUCCGCGUCUGAUUAGGUAGUUGGUGGGGCAACGGCCCACCAAGCCGACGAUCAGUAGCCGACCUGAGAGGGUGACCGGCCACAUUGGGACUGAGACACGGCCCAAACUCCUACGGGAGGCAGCAUG